AGCGUGAAGGUAUAAAUAUCGUCGCCCCAGUUGAAAAUGUCACAGAGCAGCUGAGCUCCUUGUUGGAUCCACAAUACUCACGAAUCUUCAAUAUGAAAGUCGCUUACCUGGCCCUAGCCCUCCUGCUGGUGCUGUCGGCGGUGCUCACCUCCGUCAGCUCUGACCCCGUUGCCGACCCAGAACCUUUCAAGAAGUUCAAGAAGAGGAAAUUCGGCGGACAUGGGCAUCGUCGUCCCUCCUUCCACCGCGUCGCACGACCUGUGUACAUCCAUCAUGGCGGCUACGGACACGGCUAGUAAGGAACAUCUUGAGCUAACACAACACAAGAACGCCUUGAGAAGAUUGCCAUCAACUUUAUGGAUAUUCUUCUCAACGUCUUCUCUGUAUCCUCCUGGUGGCUGGAGCCUCAACUAUUCUACUAAAGGUCCUUCCUCCCUCUUGUGUUGUGACCCCCGCCAGUAAGUGAGAGUCGCUCUCUGUCUUAAGGCUAACAUGUACACCAAACUUUCGACUCUUAUACAAAAUACAUUAUAAAAAUAUUG